rnacentral:lncRNA from 1 species
AAAGACAUUGAUGCCUUUAUACUAAAAGAAACCAAACCGGAAAUCACUUUAUCUAAACCCAAUCAUACCAACACCAUACUAUACCAACUUGAAACCCUAACAUCUUCCUUCUCUCAAUUCGUCUCCCUCUCUCCCUCAUUUGCGGCGGAGCCAGAGACUAAAAGAAUCCUAGACCAACUCUCUCCGGUUUCACCUCUUGAAACGCAUCCCUCGAAUAGAUCUCACCGUCUCUUUUUCCAAUUUCACCUCCUGAAACCAUGGAUUUGAUCUUCACCCACUCUAUGUACAUUCUCACCUCCGUAACACUGCCGACCUCUUACUUCCGAAUCAAUCGGUCUCUGU